rnacentral:tRNA from 1 species
GGAGAGAUGUCCGAGUGGUUGAAGGAGCACGCCUGGAAAGCGUGUGUAGGGGCAACUCUACCGGGGGUUCGAAUCCCCCUCUCUCCG